GGAGAGAUGGCCGAGUGGUUGAAGGCGCCAGACUCGAAAUCUGGUUUACCCGAAAGGUAACGUGGGUUCGAAUCCCACUCUCUCCGCCA
rnacentral:tRNA from 1 species